CGCGCCGCGAGACUGGAGAGCGCGGCCAUGGCGGGACCGGGCGUCCCCGGUGCCCCCGCAGCCCGCUGGAAACGCCACAUCGUGCGGCAGCUGCGGCUUCGGGACCGUACGCAAAAGGCGCUUUUCCUGGAGCUGGUGCCGGCCUAUAACCAUCUCUUAGAGAAGGCUGAGCUGCUGGACAAGUUCUCAAAGAAGCUGCAGCCGGAGCCAAACAGUGUCACUCCCACCACCCACCAGGGCCCCUGGGAGGAGUCAGAGCUUGACUUAGACCAAGUCCCAUCACUGGCCGCACUGAGGGUGAAGUGGCAGGGUGAGGAGGAGGGGCUCCGGCUGGUCUGUGGUGAGAUGGCCUACCAGGUGGUGGAGAAGAGCGCGGCCCUGGGCACCCUGGAGUCGCAGCUGCAGCAGAGGCAAAGCAGGCUGGCGGCCCUGGAGGCCCGCGUGGCGCAGCUGCGAGAGGCGCGGGCGCAGCAGGUCCAGCAGGUGGAGGAGUGGCGGGCGCAGAACGCGGUGCAGCGGGCAGCCAACGAGGCGCUGCGCGCGCACGUCGGGCUCCGGGAGGCGGCACUGCGCAGGCUCCAGGAGGAGGCACGCGAGCUGCUGGAGAGGCUCGUGCAGCGCAAGGCGCGCGCCGCAGCCGAGCGCAACCUGCGCAACGAGCGCCGGGAGCGGGCCAAGCAGGCGCGGGUGUCCCAGGAGCUGAAGAAGGCUGCCAAGCGGACCGUGAGCAUCAGCGAGGGCCCGGACACCCUAGGCGAUGGGAUGAGGGAGAGAAGCGAGACUCUGGCUCUGGCCCCUGAGCCAGAGUCCCUGGAGAAGGAAGCUUGUGAGAAGUGGAAGAGGCCCUUCAGGUGAGGACCCAGGUGACGGUCUCAGAGCUCUGAGCUGAGCCCCACCCCAGAGGCUGCCAGGGUCUUCCUCUUGGACCGUGGAGUCAGCUCUUGGGUUGGGAGGAAGCUUGAGGAGAGGCCGGAAAGCUCAGAUCUCCCAGGUCUAGUCUGACAUGCAUUGUCUGGAGCCACUUGGGGUCAGUUCCAUCUCACCCCCUCAACCCCUACCCUCAACCCUUUUCCUCCUUCUUGGGAAUCAGAGCUCUGGGGGUGGGGUGUCAGGCUUGUGAAUAGCUGUCACCAGGAGAGAACCUGUGGGCAAAGCCCAGAGCCCAGUCAUGUCAGGCAUGUGUGUGCAGCCAUAGGUGUGCAAGCAUGUGCAUCCGCAGGGACAUAGGCCACAGGUGUGUACAAGCUUGACUGAGCCUGUCUGUGUGUGUGAAUAUAUUAGCAUGUGUAGAUGUGUGCUCACACUUGUGGGACCUGAUUGGGGCUUCAGACCUUGGGUGCCUGUCCGCAGGGUCUCCUCCAUCCUUCUUGAUUUGCCUGUCAUUGAGGCUGCCCCCUCCAGGCUCCAUUCCCCAGCCUAACACCUCUUCUCAGUCUUUCCUUGCAGGUCCCCGGUGUCCCGGCCUUGGGGCAGUGAAGAAACCGUGGGGAGGGGCAUGAGAUGCCAGUCCCCAAAGUCCUUGGGAGCCCUUGUGGGCCAAGUCAUUGCAGGACACACCCUCUCCUGGGCAUUGCUGAGGUCACCUAGUGAGCCUAGGCUUCCCCCUUCUUCCAUCCCCAGCCUGGGGGAAUCUUCAGCAUCUCUCUUCCCUGUAGGCCCCAGCUCAGCUUCCCAGGAACUUUUGUUUUUGGGUACUUGUAGGGUAAGGCAGUUCUUCCCAUCGUGAGGGAGACCUUGGGAGACUUUCACUACCAAAUCUAUUGCUGCCCCGACCUUCCUGGGACUGGUCUGGGUCACCCUAGUCUCCUGGUCUUGGAGAAGUCAAGUUCUUAUCCCAGACUUGAGAGGUUACAAGCCUCCAGGUCUCUGGCAAAGUGUGGAGAUGAUGGACAGCCAUUGGUACACACACCAGCCAAUCCCUUAGCAUAUCUCUCUCGGUUUUGUCUCAGGUCUGCCUCAGCCACCUCCCUGACGCUGUCCCACUGUGUGGAUGUGGUGAAGGGGCUUCUGGAGUAAGUGUGUGUGUGCCUGUGUGUGCACCCAUGUGUGUGUCGGGCUCCCCAGCCCAGGCUUGGUCUGUGUCUGCGCUUCGACCUGUCCAUCCCUGUGAUGCGCAGCUGUCUGCCUGUGAGUCUGUUGGGCCCUGGAGACAGGAGCCAGGUGAAUGGCCUCAGCCCCAGCCCCGGUUCAGCUGUCUUCCAGGUUCUGUCCUCACAAGGGUCUGUCUUCAUCCAAGGUCGUCACAGGGGACCAAAAGCUCCAGCCUCAGGCAGGGCAGGAGCUCCUACUCAAUUGGGAAAAAUGCUCUGAAAUGUCAGGGACUCAUUCAGAGUCACAGAGCCAAGCAGUGGCAAGACUGGGAUUGAAACCCCAGCCCUGAGGUUUCUUUGCACCCACCAACCCUACCCUGCUCCUGUGUCUGCCUCUGUGUGCUCCCCACCCUGUCUCCACACCAACCCCUGGGGUCGAGGCUGGGUUGGGGAAUGCGCUCACUGCUCCUUGGGGCCAUGUUCUGCCGCCUGCCAUGUCUGCUUCCUAUAGUUGAUGCCUCAGGGGAGCUGGAGGCUCCCACCUGAGAAGGCCUUGCUGAAUGCCCUCCUGACCCCAACCCACCUUACCCCAGUUUUAAGAAGAGGAGAGGUCACUCAAUUGGGGGAGCCCCUGAGCAGCGAUACCAGAUCAUCCCUGUGUGUGUGGCCGCCCGACUUCCUACCCGGGCUCAGGAUGUGCUGGAUGCCCACCUCUCUGAGGUCAAUGCUGUUCGUUUUGGCCCCAACAGCAGCCUCCUGGCCACUGGAGGGGCUGACCGCCUGAUCCACCUCUGGAAUGUUGUGGGAAGUCGCCUGGAGGCCAACCAGACCCUGGAGGGAGCUGGUGGCAGCAUCACCAGUGUGGACUUUGACCCCUCGGGCUACCAGGUUUUAGCAGCAACUUACAACCAGGCUGCCCAGCUCUGGAAGGUGGGGGAGGCACAGUCCAAGGAGACAUUGUCUGGACACAAGGAUAAGGUGACAGCUGCCAAAUUCAAGCUAACGCACCAGGCAGUGACUGGGAGCCGCGACCGGACAGUGAAGGAGUGGGACCUUGGCCGUGCCUACUGCUCCAGGACCAUCAAUGUCCUUUCCUACUGUAAUGACGUGGUGUGUGGGGACCAUAUCAUCAUUAGUGGCCACAAUGACCAGAAGAUCCGGUUCUGGGACAGCAGGGGGCCCCACUGCACCCAGGUCAUCCCUGUGCAGGGCCGGGUCACCUCCCUGAGCCUCAGCCACGACCAACUGCACCUGCUCAGCUGUUCCCGAGAUAACACACUCAAGGUCAUCGACCUGCGUGUCAGCAACAUCCGCCAGGUGUUCAGGGCCGAUGGCUUCAAGUGCGGUUCUGACUGGACCAAAGCUGUGUUCAGCCCGGACAGAAGCUAUGCACUGGCAGGCUCCUGUGAUGGGGCCCUUUACAUCUGGGAUGUGGACACCGGGAAACUGGAGAGCAGACUUCAGGGACCCCAUUGCACUGCUGUCAACGCCGUGGCCUGGUGCUACUCCGGGAGCCACAUGGUGAGCGUGGACCAGGGCAGGAAGGUUGUGCUCUGGCAGUAGGGCCACGAUUUCCCUGCCUGGGCUGGAGCUCUUGCCCGAAGCCUGAAGCUUCCCUUGGCACCAUGCGGGGGUUGGGGUUGGGACUGGAGAUGGCCUUGGGAUUUAAUGGGGAAGAAGGCCUGGCAGGACCUGGCCUGUUUGUUUAAAAAUGAAGUAUGGGUUGGGGGAUUAUGCUAGUUUUUCUUUGUAUUUUUAUCUCUAUCUCCUCACUUUCUCUCUCAAAGUAGAAAAAAAUGAUAUCUAAA
rnacentral:sRNA from 1 species